AUUGAACGCUGGCGGCAUGCCUUACACAUGCAAGUCGAACGGUAACAGGUCUUCGGAUGCUGACGAGUGGCGAACGGGUGAGUAAUACAUCGGAACGUGCCUAGUAGUGGGGGAUAACUACCCGAAAGGGUGGCUAAUACCGCAUGAGAUCUACGGAUGAAAGCAGGGGAUCGCAAGACCUUGUGCUACUAGAGCGGCCGAUGGCAGAUUAGGUAGUUGGUGGGAUAAAAGCUUACCAAGCCGACGAUCUGUAGCUGGUCUGAGAGGACGAUCAGCCACACUGGGACUGAGACACGGACCAGAUUCCUACGGGAGGCAGCAGUGGGGAAUUUUGGACAAUGGGCGAAAGCCUGAUCCAGCAAUGCCGCGUGCAGGAUGAAGGCCUUCGGGUUGUAAACUGCUUUUGUACGGAACGAAAAGCCCUGGGUUAAUACCCUGGGGUCAUGACGGUACCGUAAGAAUAAGCACCGGCUAACUACGUGCCAGCCGCCGCCGUAA
rnacentral:rRNA from 1 species